rnacentral:rRNA from 1 species
GACGAACGCUGGCGGCGUGCUUAACACAUGCAAGUCGAACGGAAAGGCCCCCACCUUGGUGGGGGUGCUCGAGUGGCGAACGGGUGAAUAACACGUGGGUGAUCUGCCCUGUACUUCGGGAUAAGCUUGGGAAACUGGGUCUAAUACCGGAUAGGACCAUGGUUUAGUGUCUCAUGGUGGAAAAAUUAUUGUUUUGGUGCAGGAUGAGCUCGCGGCCUAUCAGCUUGUUGGUGGGGUAAUGGCCUACCAAGGCGUCGACGGGUAGCCGGCCUGAGAGGGUGGACGGCCACAUGGGGACUGAGAUACGGCCCAGACUCCUACGGGAGGCAGCAGUGGGGAAUAUUGCACAAUGGGCGCAAGCCUGAUGCAGCGACGCCGCGUGGGGGAUGACGGCCUUCGGGUUGUAAACUCCUUUCGUUAGGGACGAAGCCACACCUUUUUUGGGUGUGGUGACGGUACCUUUGUUAAGAAGCACCGGCUAACUACGUG